ACUAAUCUAAUUAUUACUAUCCUAUUUAUACUAAUUUAACUAGGGUUUGAUAAUGAAGAAAUGGAUGAGCUAGCCCAUUUGAUAUAAUGGGCUAGUGUGAAUAUAUGUGAUAAUGUCAAUAUCCUCUCAAGCUAGAGAGUGAAUGUCAAACAUUCCCAUGCAGCAAUUGGGAAGUAUAUAUAUUUCUGAGAUUUUGUAUAGCUGCAGGCCGGCUUUGUAAGGAUAUCAGCAAGCUGGUUUUGAUACAUGAGAUAGUUUGAACAAACCAACCAGCUGUAAAUGAUCCCUAACAAGAUGCAUGACAGUCAAUUUCAAUGUGUUUGAACCUUUCAUGGAAAACAGGAUUUGAAGCUAUGUGAAUUGUUGCCUGAUUGUCACAGUGCAACUGUGUACGUUUUGUAAUCUGGUUUUACCUGCAAAUCAUUUAAAAAAUAAUGCAACUACAUAUAUAAUUUCGCAAACAAUUGAGGUCAUGAACCUGUAUUAAUUAAGACUCUGCAGAAGAUUUAAAAAUUGUGGCCGG
rnacentral:lncRNA from 1 species